UUAGGUCGAGGGCACGUCUGCCUGGGCGUCACA
rnacentral:rRNA from 8 species